GGCGCUAUAGCCAAGUGGUAAGGCACAGGUCUGCAACACCUAGAUCUCCAGUUCGAAUCUGGAUGGCGCCUCCA
rnacentral:tRNA from 1 species